CUCGGCUGCAAUUAUGUCAUCAUGAAAUCAUGCUCCACAUUCUAAAAUAAACUCAUUGCCAUAUGAAUUGUUAUCUUACUGAGAUAUUUUUGUAGUUGUCUUUUAACAGCUUCCUUAGAAGUGUCUCCCAAAUUUCUCACAAUACCAAAACAAAAAUUUCUUUCUUCAUCUUAUCCAAGUGAGUAGGUCAAGCAUGAAUGUUCAGAUAUCACCACCCUGAUCCUGCAUUGCACACACACAAUUACUUGAAUUUCUCUCUCUCUCUCUCUCUCUCUCUCUCUCACACACACACACAUACACACACACACACACACACACGAUUAUUUAGCUAAAUCUUCUAAAAUAUACAUUUCUGAUUUCAAGAAAGGUCAAAAAGAGUUUUCCUUAAUGACACGGUUCGGGACUCACCUGUGGACGUGGAUGUCCUGUGACCAGACAGAGGCCAUGGUUGCUUAAAAAUUAAUGAGAACACACUUGGAAUUUUUUAUUUAACAUUAAAAGGAUCAUGAAUGUUGCACAAUUUGGAUAAACUUGGUGAUUCUAUGGAGGAAAUAAAAUGAAUAUAAAGUCCAGGCUAUAGGAAAACUGGAAAAAUCUGCAUCCUGCUCAUUAUAUUACAUAUUCUGAUAUCACAAACACAGAUAGGGAAGAAGAAAGUAGGAAGAGCUGAGACAGGAGGUGAAGAUGCUGAUGCACAUGAUGACCUCUUGUAUGUGUGUAUGCCCGGGAGGAACCAGUCUGAGUCAGCCACCAGUAAUCUACACGCUCCUGUAUCUACAUGGACAUUCUCACAUCAACCCUUCACCAUAUUCUUCCUGGCAUUUCUCAGGGGAAGCUGAUCUGCACAGUGGGAAUAUUUGAAAGCCCAUCAAACAUUUCAUUAAUCUCAUAAUUUGGUCACAGGGAUUUGUAUGAACUAGGCUGGGUACCUCAACUUGAAGAUAAAUAUUAUAGGGAACUGCAUCCCCAGCCGCAGCGUAUGAAUGAGAUACUCUAUACACAACUUCUUAGUUUUCUAUUGGAUCCUAUGGUACUUCCCAAAUGGUUUCUGACUAAAAGUUGAAUCAUGUCUCCAAAUAGUAUAUUUUAGAAAAAUAAAAAAUAACUACUCCAGAAACUUCA
rnacentral:lncRNA from 1 species